rnacentral:rRNA from 3 species
AAAUUGAAGAGUUUGAUCAUGGCUCAGAUUGAACGCUGGCGGCAGGCCUAACACAUGCAAGUCGAACGGUAACAGGAAGCAGCUUGCUGCUUCGCUGACGAGUGGCGGACGGGUGAGUAAUGUCUGGGAAACUGCCUGAUGGAGGGGGAUAACUACUGGAAACGGUGGCUAAUACCGCAUAACGUCGCAAGACCAAAGAGGGGGACCUUUGGGCCUCUUGCCAUCAGAUGUGCCCAGAUGGGAUUAGCUUGUUGGUGAGGUAACGGCUCACCAAGGCGACGAUCCCUAGCUGGUCUGAGAGGAUGACCAGCCACACUGGAACUGAGACACGGUCCAGACUCCUACGGGAGGCAGCAGUGGGGAAUAUUGCACAAUGGGCGCAAGCCUGAUGCAGCCAUGCCGCGUGUAUGAAGAAGGCCUUCGGGUUGUAAAGUACUUUCAGCGGGGAGGAAGGUGUUGUGGUUAAUAACCGCAGCAAUUGACGUUACCCGCAGAAGAAGCACCGGCUAACUCCGUGCCAGCAGCCGCGGUAAUACGGAGGGUGCAAGCGUUAAUCGGAAUUACUGGGCGUAAAGCGCACGCAGGCGGUCUGUCAAGUCGGAUGUGAAAUCCCCGGGCUCAACCUGGGAACUGCAUUCGAAACUGGCAGGCUUGAGUCUUGUAGAGGGGGGUAGAAUUCCAGGUGUAGCGGUGAAAUGCGUAGAGAUCUGGAGGAAUACCGGUGGCGAAGGCGGCCCCCUGGACAAAGACUGACGCUCAGGUGCGAAAGCGUGGGGAGCAAACAGGAUUAGAUACCCUGGUAGUCCACGCCGUAAACGAUGUCUACUUGGAGGUUGUGCCCUUGAGGCGUGGCUUCCGGAGCUAACGCGUUAAGUAGACCGCCUGGGGAGUACGGCCGCAAGGUUAAAACUCAAAUGAAUUGACGGGGGCCCGCACAAGCGGUGGAGCAUGUGGUUUAAUUCGAUGCAACGCGAAGAACCUUACCUGGUCUUGACAUCCACAGAAGAAUCCAGAGAUGGAUUUGUGCCUUCGGGAACUGUGAGACAGGUGCUGCAUGGCUGUCGUCAGCUCGUGUUGUGAAAUGUUGGGUUAAGUCCCGCAACGAGCGCAACCCUUAUCCUUUGUUGCCAGCGGUUAGGCCGGGAACUCAAAGGAGACUGCCAGUGAUAAACUGGAGGAAGGUGGGGAUGACGUCAAGUCAUCAUGGCCCUUACGACCAGGGCUACACACGUGCUACAAUGGCGCAUACAAAGAGAAGCGACCUCGCGAGAGCAAGCGGACCUCAUAAAGUGCGUCGUAGUCCGGAUUGGAGUCUGCAACUCGACUCCAUGAAGUCGGAAUCGCUAGUAAUCGUGGAUCAGAAUGCCACGGUGAAUACGUUCCCGGGCCUUGUACACACCGCCCGUCACACCAUGGGAGUGGGUUGCAAAAGAAGUAGGUAGCUUAACCUUCGGGAGGGCGCUUACCACUUUGUGAUUCAUGACUGGGGUGAAGUCGUAACAAGGUAACCGUAGGGGAACCUGCGGUUGGAUCACCUCCUUACCUUAAAGAAGC